rnacentral:rRNA from 1 species
GAUGAACGCUAGCGGCAGGCUUAAUACAUGCAAGCCGAGGGGCAGCAGCUUUAUAGCAAUAUAGAGGCUGGCGACCGGCAAACGGGUGCGGAACACGUACACAACCUUCCUUGAAUAGGGGGAUAGCCCAUAGAAAUGUGGAUUAAUACCCCGUAAUAUAGCGGUGUGGCAUCACACUGUUAUUAUAGUUUCGGCGAUUCGAGAUGGGUGUGCGGCUGAUUAGGUAGUUGGCGGGGUAAAGGCCCACCAAGCCUUCGAUCAGUAGCUGAUGUGAGAGCAUGAUCAGCCACACGGGCACUGAGACACGGGCCCGACUCCUACGGGAGGCAGCAGUAAGGAAUAUUGGUCAAUGGACGCAAGUCUGAACCAGCCAUGCCGCGUGAAGGAUGAAGGUCCUCUGGAUUGUAAACUUCUUUUAUAGGGGGCGAAAAAAGGUCUUUCUAGAUCACUUGACAGUACCCUAUGAAUAAGCACCGGCUAACUCC